ACCUCCUAGCAUAGUGACUUUAAUAAUAACUAGAGAAAUUAUAUAAAAAGUAAUAGAAAAACUAUUUAAUGUUAUAAAAUUACCUUUAAUAUGACGAGAGACAUAUCUCCUUUAUGUCAUUAGAGGGAAAGAAGUACAACCAUACAGUAAAAACAGAAGUGAAAGUGAGGGUUGUCCUCCAAGGAGCCAUCCAGCUUAUCUUCCGCCGUCCAGAUGGGCCGCGUCUGCUGCUCUCGAAUGAUAGCCUUGAACUCCUGGUACCAGGUGUCACUCGUGCCAUUCAGAGGGAUGGUGGCUGUGAAGAGGUGGCUGCUCUGCUUCCGCAGCUUCUGGGCUUGUGCGUAGAGGCGGCGGGUACUGCGGCAGGAGGCAGGCGCCAGCCAACUUAGCUCCUUCUAAAUUGUCCUCAUACAUCCAGUGAUUUUCAGGUGGAGUUUCGCUCUUGUUGCCCAGGCUGGAGUACAAUGGGGAGAUCUCAGCUCACUGUGGCCUCCGCCUCCCAGUUUCAAGCUAUUCUCCUGCCUCAGCCUCCGAGUAGCUGGAAUUACAGGUCAUUUUCAUUCAAAGACUGAUUGAGAAAAUCUCAGAAGAUUAAAGAGAAUAAAGGAUCUGACUUGAAAU
rnacentral:lncRNA from 1 species